CUGAUGGAGGGGGAUAACUACUGGAAACGGUGGCUAAUACCGCAUAACGUCGCAAGACCAAAGAGGGGGACCUUCGGGCCUCUUGCCAUCAGAUGUGCCCAGAUGGGAUUAGCUUGUUGGUGAGGUAACGGCUCACCAAGGCGACGAUCCCUAGCUGGUCUGAGAGGAUGACCAGCCACACUGGAACUGAGACACGGUCCAGACUCCUACGGGAGGCAGCAGUGGGGAAUAUUGCACAAUGGGCGCAAGCCUGAUGCAGCCAUGCCGCGUGUAUGAAGAAGGCCUUCGGGUUGUAAAGUACUUUCAGCGGGGAGGAAGGUGUUGUGGUUAAUAACCGCAGCAAUUGACGUUACCCGCAGAAGAAGCACCGGCUAACUCCGUGCCAGCAGCCGCGGUAAUACGGAGGGUGCAAGCGUUAAUCGGAAUUACUGGGCGUAAAGCGCACGCAGGCGGUCUGUCAAGUCGGAUGUGAAAUCCCCGGGCUCAACCUGGGAACUGCAUUCGAAACUGGCAGGCUUGAGUCUUGUAGAGGGGGGUAGAAUUCCAGGUGUAGCGGUGAAAUGCGUAGAGAUCUGGAGGAAUACCGGUGGCGAAGGCGGCCCCCUGGACAAAGACUGACGCUCAGGUGCGAAAGCGUGGGGAGCAAACAGGAUUAGAUACCCUGGUAGUCCACGCCGUAAACGAUGUCUACUUGGAGGUUGUGCCCUUGAGGCGUGGCUUCCGGAGCUAACGCGUUAAGUAGACCGCCUGGGGAGUACGGCCGCAAGGUUAAAACUCAAAUGAAUUGACGGGGGCCCGCACAAGCGGUGGAGCAUGUGGUUUAAUUCGAUGCAACGCGAAGAACCUUACCUGGUCUUGACAUCCACAGAAGAAUCCAGAGAUGGAUUUGUGCCUUCGGGAACUGUGAGACAGGUGCUGCAUGGCUGUCGUCAGCUCGUGUUGUGAAAUGUUGGGUUAAGUCCCGCAACGAGCGCAACCCUUAUCCUUUGUUGCCAGCGGUUAGGCCGGGAACUCAAAGGAGACUGCCAGUGAUAAACUGGAGGAAGGUGGGGAUGACGUCAAGUCAUCAUGGCCCUUACGACCAGGGCUACACACGUGCUACAAUGGCGCAUACAAAGAGAAGCGACCUCGCGAGAGCAAGCGGACCUCAUAAAGUGCGUCGUAGUCCGGAUUGGAGUCUGCAACUCGACUCCAUGAAGUCGGAAUCGCUAGUAAUCGUGGAUCAGAAUGCCACGGUGAAUACGUUCCCGGGCCUUGUACACACCGCCCGUCACACCAUGGGAGUGGGUUGCAAAAGAAGUAGGUAGCUUAACCUUCGGGAGGGCGCUUACCACUUUGUGAUUCAUGACUGGGGUGAAGUCGUAACAAGGUAACCGUAGGGGAACCUGCGGUUGGAUCACCUCCUUACCUUAAAGAA
rnacentral:rRNA from 1 species